AAAAUAGUAUUUAUUAAUGAGAAAUUGUAGAUGGCGUUUCACACAGACACCCUAUGCAAGUUUUAUUAGACCUCCAAUAGUCUCGUUCGUGCCGGUUGACGGCCAUCUUUGUUGGCUGGCGCAGGAUGACUUCAGGCAUGCUGAUGUAAGAUAGAAAUAAGUCGUAUAUCAUUAGGCUGUCCUUUUUGGCUGGCCAUACACUGAUCAAAAUUCAGCUGAUUGAAAAGGGACCAGCAGAAUUUCGAUCAAUGUGUGGCAGUCCCUGCUAAUUAACUUUUGAUCAACCAAAGAGAGACUCCAUGGGAGGGAGAGAAUCUGACCAAAAGGCCAUGUGCCGCCCUCCUCAAGACUUUCAGGGCAAAUCUAAGGACCUACACCCUACUAGUCAGGCUAAGUGCCAUGACUGUGUACAUGCAAAAAAAAAAAAAAAAGACAGACACACGUAGAAUGGAA